GACGAACGCUGGCGGCGUGCUUAACACAUGCAAGUCGAGCGGUAAGGCCCUUUCGGGGGUACACGAGCGGCGAACGGGUGAGUAACACGUGGGUGACCUGCCUUUAGCUCUGGGAUAAGCCUGGGAAACUGGGUCUAAUACCGGAUAUGACCUCAUGAUGCAUGUUGUGGGGUGGAAAGCCUUGUGCGGCUGGAGAUGGGCCCGCGGCCUAUCAGCUUGUUGGUGGGGUGAUGGCCUACCAAGGCGA
rnacentral:rRNA from 1 species